GAAAGUCUGACGGAGCAACGCCGCGUGAGUGAUGAAGGCUUUCGGGUCGUAAAACUCUGUUGUUAGGGAAGAACAAGUGCUAGUUGAAUAAGCUGGCACCUUGACGGUACCUAACCAGAAAGCCACGGCUAACUACGUGCCAGCAGCCGCGGUAAUACGUAGGUGGCAAGCGUUAUCCGGAAUUAUUGGGCGUAAAGCGCGCGCAGGUGGUUUCUUAAGUCUGAUGUGAAAGCCCACGGCUCAACCGUGGAGGGUCAUUGGAAACUGGGAGACUUGAGUGCAGAAGAGGAAAGUGGAAUUCCAUGUGUAGCGGUGAAAUGCGUAGAGAUAUGGAGGAACACCAGUGGCGAAGGCGACUUUCUGGUCUGUAACUGACACUGAGGCGCGAAAGCGUGGGGAGCAAACAGGAUUAGAUACCCUGGUAGUCCACGCCGUAAACGAUGAGUGCUAAGUGUUAGAGGGUUUCCGCCCUUUAGUGCUGAAGUUAACGCAUUAAGCACUCCGCCUGGGGAGUACGGCCGCAAGGCUGAAACUCAAAGGAAUUGACGGG
rnacentral:rRNA from 1 species